UACGGAGGGAGCUAGCGUUGUUCGGAUUUACUGGGCGUAAAGCGCGUGUAGGCGGAUUUGUAAGUUGGGGGUGAAAUCCCGAGGCUCAACCUCGGAACUGCCUCCAAAACUACAAGUCUGGACUCAAGCAGAGGCAAGUGGAAUUGCGAGUGUAGAGGUGAAAUUCGUAGAUAUUCGCAGGAACACCAGUGGCGAAGGCGACUUGCUGGGCUUGUAGUGACGCUGAGACGCGAAAGCGUGGGGAGCAAACAGG
rnacentral:rRNA from 1 species